GGGGAGAGAGACAGCCUGGGUUAGUCACACACACACAGUGGUUAAAAGUACUUAAAUGUAAGUUCCCAUAUUUGGGGACCCUAUUUGAUCUGCAUUCCAGUUAGCGUUGUGAAGCAUAUACGAAAUAAACACGGAAUACGUUGAUGCACACCGAAAGCCGGGACUCCACAGAUCAGGUCGUAUUUAUCUGCUUGUGACCUACCGUUAUUGAUCACCAGCCCCGAGAGUCAAAAUGUUUAUUUUAGACAACAUUUUCACCAAACAGCAAACAUCUUACAAGUUAAGCUUCCAUUUGGUCUGUGUUUGAGCUAUAGCUACAUGGGGGUAUUCAUCUUUAGGUUGGUAGGAACAAAUCUAGCAUAUUGCCAUGUUAUCUGAUAUAUGACUUAAUGGCAACAUCGAAUGUCCACUGAGUGACUAUAUCUUUGCGCAUCAAAAAUAUGUUGCCUGCUUAGGCAUCCAUUACACAGAGGAUUGGCUACUAUGGCACCUUGACAGUCUUGUAGCCAAUGAGAUAAGCUUUCCAGGGAUAUGCAGUUGACCUGGGUGGGACAAAGCAAGGCCUAGAACUUUUUAUGCGUAAUGUGAACUAUUGCUACCUGGCUCAGAGACGAGACGCGUGCUUCAUUACAUUGUAAACAGAUUUCAUCGCUUUAAUUUCAUGACUUUAGCAUAAAAGAUCACUUCUCAAGAAGAAAAUGGGGGAAAAACGAAAAUAUCAAACAGGAACUUAAAAAGAAAGCAUCUAUGAAUAAGCAUACCGACAUAGAAGCGUUGAAUAAAAUACUGGAGUCGGACUUGGAUCAGGGGAGCGAUUUCGCCUCGGCCGAUGACGAUUACCUUCUAGAACGAUUGGAUGCACUUUUAGAUCUAGUGGAGGAUGCAGAGGAUUUGAAUGAUGACGUUUAGGAGCCACCCCUCCCCAGCUAGUACCCCCGCCGGCCAAGGUCUUCACCCCCCACUGCUAUGUCAAUCACCCCGUCUGAUGGUUCUACAUCCAUCACUCGACAAAGACCCCACUCCUCCUUCAACCACCCCCACUGCCGGCCCUGGCACCACUCCCCUGUCUGCAAGUUCAUCUGGAGGUGCGGGGCAGGGAGGAGAUCUAGGCCUCAACAGAGAAGAGGGAGAGGCAGUGGAAGCACUUGAAGAUGAUGAGGAGGCAGAACAAUUUAGGUUUAAACCCAAACGACCUGAAGGCCCACAGUUGGUCAGUGAUGAAACAUACUUACAGCUGUUUCACCUCUACUUUACCACCUCUGUACUGGAACACUAAUUAGUCAUAUCAACAAGUAUGGGGACAAGAAGCAGCAGGGGGAAGGAAGGAAGAUGACCUGGAAACCUGUCACCAUUAAGACUAGUUGACAACUGGAGCAAGUCCCCACUCUGUCAGUUCGAGUUCCCCUCCUCCAACAUGAGUGAAAACCGAUUCUUGGCCAUCAACCGUACYCUUCACAUGUGUGACACACAAAAGGAUCAGGACAAUGACCAGAAGAAGGGGACUGCAGGGUAUGAUCGUCUUGCAAGAGUCAAGCCCCUUUAUCAUGACAUGGUGGAGGCAUGCAAAACUUACUUCCAGCCUGCUCAAAAUCUAUCUAUAGAUAAGCGCAUGGUUGCCUCAAGGCUCGAAUUGACUUAAAGCAAUAUAUUAAAAAUAAUCAGACAAAUGGGGCUACAAGCUCUUUCUGCUAGCAGAUUCAGCCUCUGCCUACACGUGGAAGGCAAGGCGAUCACACCCACUGGGAAGGGCCUUAGUUAUGGCUCUGUCAUGCAGCUAGUGGACKUCCCCUUACGUGACAGUGGGUACAAGCUCUUUGUGGACACUUUUUAUACUAGUCCCAUGCUUUUCAUAGACCUCUUGAAAAAGAAAAUAGGGGCUUGUGGCACCAUUCGUCCUAAAAUAAUUGUUUUCCCAAAGACCAAGGUAAACGACAUGACAAAGACAACAGAGAGGCAGACCAUAUGUUGGAUCAGGACUAACAAGCUGCUUUUUGUGAAAUGGAAGGACACUAGGGAAGUAACCAUGCUCACCACACAGCAUGAGGCAUUCAAUAACGACCAUGUCUCAAGGAGGGUGGAAAAUGCCAUUGGGGCACGGGUGAGGAAGAGUGUCCCCAUUCCUGAUUCUGUGAAGGACUACAAUGCCAGCAUAGGGGUGUCCUAUCGGUGACCUAUCUGAUGCUCUGAUAGGUCCUCCACAAGACCAGGAAGUGGUAUAAGACUUUGUUUUUACCACUGUGGACAUUGCUACAGUAAAUGCUUUCAUUCUCCACAAGCAGAUGGCCAAAGCAAAAGGUCAAACCCCUCUCUCCCAGUUGGCCUUCCGAGAGCAGCUGGUGCUGGAAAUGGCUGAAUUGGGGGCCCAAAGCAACCUCACAACCAUCACAAGACCCCCCACUCAAGGUGAGCUCCAUUAUCCAACACAUAUGCCAAAAGACAAAAGGAAGAACUGCAAGCAUUGCACAAAACACAGGGGGGAAAAGGGUGAAAUGCCAGAUCUUCUGUUCAAAAUGGCAGUUCUCUUUUUGUUUCCUGGCAGAGAGGGACUGCUUCAAAGACUGUCACGACAUGCACAAGCUAUGGUGAAAGUGAAAUCUAAUCAUCUACACCUGGGAUGUAAAAUGAACAUGAAUGCCAUUUGUAAAUAGUUCCGCUUAUUUUUAUUUUUGUACCUUUUUUAAUGAAGGACACAUGUGUAACCAAGUUUGUGUUUGAUAAGAC